GAGUUUGAUCAUGGCUCAGAACGUACGCUGGCGGCACGCCUAAUACAUGCAAGUCGAACGAAGUAGCAAUACUUAGUGGCAGACGGGUGAGUAACAUGUGGGUAUCUUCCCUUUGGUGAGGAAUAACACGAGGAAACUUGUGCUAAUACCGGAUAAGUCUUUACGGAGAAAGCUUUAUGCACCAUUGGAUGAGCCUGCACUUGAUUAGUUUGUUGGUGGGGUAAUGGCCUACCAAGACUGUGAUCAAUAGCUGAUUUGAGAGGAUGAUCAGCCACAUUGGGACUGAGACACGGCCCAAACUCCUACGGGAGGCAGCAGUGGGGGAUCUUGCACAAUGGAGGAAACUCUGAUGCAGCGAUGCCGCGUGAGUGAAGAAGGCCCUUGGGUUGUAAAGCUCUUUCGUCGGGGAAGAAAAUGACUGUACCCGAAUAAGAAGGUCCGGCUAACUUCGUGCCAGCAGCCGCGGUAAUACGAAGGGACCUAGCGUAGUUCGGAAUUACUGGGCUUAAAGAGUUCGUAGGUGGUUGAAAAAGUUAGUGGUGAAAUCCCAGAGCUUAACUCUGGAACUGCCAUUAAAACUUUUCAGCUAGAGUAUGAUAGAGGAAAGCAGAAUUUCUAGUGUAGAGGUGAAAUUCGUAGAUAUUAGAAAGAAUACCAAUUGCGAAGGCAGCUUUCUGGAUCAUUACUGACACUGAGGAACGAAAGCAUGGGUAGCGAAGAGGAUUAGAUACCCUCGUAGUCCAUGCCGUAAACGAUGUGUGUUAGACGUUGGAAAUUUAUUUUCAGUGUCGCAGGGAAACCGAUAAACACACCGCCUGGGGAGUACGACCGCAAGGUUAAAACUCAAAUGAAUUGACGGGGACCCGCACAAGUAGUGGAGCAUGUGGUUUAAUUCGAAGAUACGCGCAGAACCUUACCAACACUUGACAUGUUCGUCGCGACUUUAAGAGAUUAAAGUUUUCGGUUCGGCCGGACGAAACACAGGUGCUGCAUGGCUGUCGUCAGCUCGUGUCGUGAGAUGUUGGGUUAAGUCCCGCAACGAGCGCAACCCUCACUUUUAGUUGCCAUCAUUUAGUUGGGCACUCUGAAAGAACUGCCAGUGAUAAGCUGGAGGAAGGUGGGGAUGACGUCAAGUCCUCAUGGCCCUUACGUGUUGGGCUACACACGUGCUACAAUGGUAUCUACAACAGGAAGCAAGACGGCGACGUUAAGCAAAUCCUUAAAAGAUACCUCAGUUCGGAUUGCACUCUGCAACUCGAGUGCAUGAAGCUGGAAUUACUAGUAAUCGUGGAUCAGCGUGCCACGGUGAAUGCGUUCCCGGGUCUUGUACACACCGCCCGUCACACCAUGGGAGUUGGUUCUACCUUAAGGCAAGGUUUCAUACCCUUGACCACGGUAUAGUCAGCGACUGGGGUGAAGUCGUAACAAGGUAACC
rnacentral:rRNA from 1 species